rnacentral:rRNA from 1 species
CGCAUCUGUGCAUGCAGCAUAUCAAUAAGCGGAGGAAAAGAAACUAACAAGGAUUCCCCUAGUAACGGCGAGUGAAGCGGGAAGAGCUCAAAUUUGAAAUCUUAAAGGGUUUCCCUUUACGAAUUGUAGUUUAAAGAAGUGUUUUCUGUUGAGGUUUUGGUAAAAGUUCUUUGGAAUAGGACAUCAUAGAGGGUGAGAAUCCCGUAUUUGACCUUUACUUUCAACUUUGUGAUACACUUUCAAAGAGUCGGAUUGUUUGGGAAUGCAGUCCAAAAUGGGUGGUAAAUUUCAUCUAAAGCUAAAUAUUGGCGAGAGACCGAUAGCGAACAAGUACCGUGAGGGAAAGAUGAAAAGAACUUUGAAAAGAGAGUUAAACAGUACGUGAAAUUGUCAAAAGGGAAGCGUUUGACACCAGUGUUGUUUUUCUGAAAAUCAAUUAAAGAACUGUUUAUGCUAAGCUGUUUAGACUUUAUCAGCUAACUGUUUAGUUUCGAGCUUUUCUUUAAUGCACUUUUCAGUUAACAAGUCAACAUCAAUUUCUUUUGCUGUAAAAAAGCUUGAGGAAGGUGGCUUGAGAUUCGUCUUAAGUGUUUAUAGCCUCUUGCCUAUGCAGUCGGAGAGAUUGAGGUCUGCAGCGUAGAUCCUUCGGGGCUAAAUGCAUUUGUGCUAAGUUAUAACAUUUUAUAGACAACUUGUUGACUAUGAUUUGUCUUGUAGCUUACUCGCUUAUGUUAUAUUACCUACACUUAGGAUGUUGAGCGCAUGUCUCUCUCU